rnacentral:rRNA from 1 species
GACGAACGCUGGCGGCGUGCUUAACACAUGCAAGUCGAACGGUAAGGCCCUUCGGGGUACACGAGUGGCGAACGGGUGAGUAACACGUGGGUGAUCUGCCCUGCACUUCGGGAUAAGCCUGGGAAACUGGGUCUAAUACCGGAUAGGACCACUGCCUGCAUGGGUGGUGGUGGAAAGCUUUUGCGGUGUGGGAUGGGCCCGCGGCCUAUCAGCUUGUUGGUGGGGUGAUGGCCUACCAAGGCGACGACGGGUAGCCGGCUUGAGAGGGUGACCGGGCACACUGGGACUGAGAUACGGCCCAGACUCCUUCGGGAGGCAGCAGUGGGGAAUAUUGCACAAUGGGCGCAAGCCUGAUGCAGCGACGCCGCGUGAGGGAUGACGGCCUUCGGGUUGUAAACCUCUUUCAGCACCGACGAAGCGCAAGUGACGGUAGGUGCAGAAGAAGGACCGGCCAACUACGUGCCAGCCGCCGCUGUAA